UGCGUAGGCGGCUAUUUAAGUCAGCGGUGAAAGACAUCGGCUCAACCGAUGCAGUGCCAUUGAUACUGGAUAGCUUGAGUGUUGGAGGGGUACAUGGAAUUGAUGGUGUAGCGGUGAAAUGCAUAGAUACCAUCAGGAACACCGAUAGCGAAGGCAUUGUACUGGCCAACAACUGACGCUGAGGCACGAAAGCAUGGGUAGCGAACAGGAUUAGAUACCCUGGUAGUCCAUGCCGUAAACGAUGAUUACUCGCUGUUAUGCCGUAGGGUGUAGCGGCCAAGCGAAAGCGUUAAGUAAUCCACCUGGGGAGUACGCCGGCAACGGUGAA
rnacentral:rRNA from 1 species